rnacentral:lncRNA from 1 species
UGAAACAAACACCUUCUUACUAUCCAAAUCAUAAAAAUAUUUUAAUAUACUCUAAAUAGUAAAUUCUAACAGAAUACUUUCUUCACUGUGCAACAUGCUUGUCAACUUGAUUUCACUUUAUUUUCCAUGCAUAACAAUCAAAUUACCAUCACCAUCAUCAUUAUUAUACCGAAAAUCAACGUUUUAUUAUAAUUUAUACUAUCUGAAUGGCUCUUCUAUUUUUUUUUUUUUUUUUUAAAAAGAAUGGCUCUUCUAUAAACUAUACUGAGGGAUUAAGACAAUCUGGUGGUUGAGAAUAAUUACUCCAUAUACAGAGUAUCGAUUGUAGUUUUAUAUUAUAAUAACUAGUGUCCAUUCCAUUCACUUUGAUGCAUACGUAGAGUAACCAUAUUCAGAGCUCUAGUCAUCUAACCAACUGAUUAUAUCUCUAACACAAAAUACAAACAUCAUAUCAAAUUAAAGAGAUUAUAUUUUAAGGAAAAUAAAAUGAAUCUCAAGUACAGCGUGUAUAUUUUGCAUAUUCAACAUAUUUUGAAUAUGCAUGUUCUUUCACUGUGCAACAACAUGCUUGUCAACUUGAU